rnacentral:rRNA from 1 species
CCUACGGGAGGCUGCAGUGGGGAAUAUUGGGCAAUGGGCGCAAGCCUGAUCCAGCAACGCCGCGUGAACGAAGAAGGCUUUCGGGUUGUAAACCUCUUUUCUCGGGGACGAAGGAAGUGACGGUACCUGAGGAAUAAGCCACGGCUAACUACGUGCCAGCAGCCGCGGUAAUACGUAGGUGGCAAGAGUUAUCCGGAAUUAUUGGGUGUAAAGGACGCGUAGGUGGGUGCGGAAGUCAGAUGUGAAAACGCAGGGCUCAACCCUUAGCAUGCAUUUGAAACUGUGAUUGUUGAGUGCUGGAGAGGAAAGCGGAAUUCCGUGUGUAGCGGUGAAAUGCGUAGAUAUACGGAGGAACACCAGUGGCGAAGGCGGAUUGCUGGACAGUAACUGACGCUGAGGCGCGAAAGCGUGGGGAGCAAACAGGAUUAGAUACCCCUGUAGUC